UCUGGUGCUUUGGCUCUGAGUC
rnacentral:siRNA from 1 species